rnacentral:rRNA from 1 species
AGAGUUUGAUCAUGGCUCAGGAUGAACGCUAGCGGCAGGCUUAAUACAUGCAAGUCGUGGGGCAGCAUGGUGUAGCAAUACACUGAUGGCGACCGGCAAACGGGUGCGGAACACGUACGCAACCUUCCUUUAACUGGAGAAUAGCCCGGGGAAACCCGGAUUAAUACUCCGUAACAUUAUGAAGUGGCAUCACUUUAUAAUUAUAGCUCCGGCGGUUAAAGAUGGGCGUGCGUCUGAUUAGGUAGUUGGCGGGGUAACGGCCCACCAAGCCUACGAUCAGUAACUGGUGUGAGAGCACGACCAGUCACACGGGCACUGAGACACGGGCCCGACUCCUACGGGAGGCAGCAGUAAGGAAUAUUGGUCAAUGGACGCAAGUCUGAACCAGCCAUGCCGCGUGGAGGAUGAAGGUCCUCUGGAUUGUAAACUUCUUUUAUUUGGGAAGAGACCACCGAUUUCUAUUGGUGUUGACGGUACCAGAUGAAUAAGCACCGGCUAACUCCGUGCCAGCAGCCGCGGUAAUACGGAGGGUGCAAGCGUUAUCCGGAUUCACUGGGUUUAAAGGGUGCGUAGGCGGGUUGGUAAGUCCGUGGUGAAAUCUCCAAGCUUAACUUGGAAACUGCCGUGGAUACUAUCAAUCUUGAAUAUCGUGGAGGUGAGCGGAAUAUGUCAUGUAGCGGUGAAAUGCUUAGAUAUGACAUAGAACACCCAUUGCGAAGGCAGCUCGCUACACGGUUAUUGACGCUGAGGCACGAAAGCGUGGGGAUCAAACAGGAUUAGAUACCCUUGUAGUCC